rnacentral:lncRNA from 10 species
GAACACAAAAUGGCGACACGUGGUUAGCAUUCGUCGCCAACGAGAAAUUGGGGUCGGCCCGAAAGCUCUAGAAUGCACCCCUCUUCCUCCCCGGGGCCUUCCACCUCCGCGAGUUUUAUGACUUAAAAAAGCCCACAGGCUGGUCUGAAGGUCGGAGGCCUAAUUUUAACGCGUUUUCCUCCCUUUAAUUUGAAACGGGAACGCGAAUGACUGUAAAAUAGGAAGACAAACAUAAAGAUGAAGUGCUUAAUUCAAGGUCACACAAUGUCGGGGAUGGACCUCCAGAUUUCCUUACUGGUGAGACGUGGUCUUGUAACACAGUGGUUAAGAAUGUGACUUUGGAGCCAGCCUGCUAGGGGCUGAAUUCUGACUCAGCCAUUUACUAACUGUGUGACCUUAGGGAGGAGGACCUGGUUGAUAGAAGAAUUUAUCUCGUAGUCUUAACAUCCACUGUAAUUCCAAACUUUGAGGACGAUAGAGAUCAGUGGGCUUUGACUGCCCAGCAUGCAGUCUCCAUUCUUAGGUGGGUUCCCAAGCCUGUAAAAUGUAAGCCUUAUGCUGCUGAGGGCCAUCUUGCCACCCUGAGGGAAACGCUGCCUGAGAAUGAAACAAGCAUAAGUAAAAGCUGAGCUGUGAGAUGGAGCAAGAUGAAGGCCACAUGACAUCUUUGGAGCACCUGGAUCUAACUGUGCCUUAAGCUAGUCUAACCCUGAACAUUUCAUCAUUUCAUUGACAUGAGCCCAGGUUUUCUUUUUUUUUGGAUGGAGUCUUGCUCUGUCGCCCAGGCUGGAGUGCAGUAGCUCAAUCUCGGCUCACUGCAAGCUCCACCUCCCGGGUUCACGCCAUUCUCCUGCCUUAGCCUCCCAAGUAGCUGGGACAACAGGCGCCCACCACCACUCCCAGCUAAUUUUUUGUAUUUUUAGUAGAGACGGGGUUUUACCAUGUUAGCCGGGAUGGUCUUGAUCUCCUGACCUCAUGAUCCGCCCGCCUCGGCCUCCCAAAGUGCUGGGAUUACAGGUGUGAGCCACUGCACCCAGCCCUCAGGUUUUCCCUUUUUUUACCCCUCCUUUUGAAAAUUUGAUGUGGAAUUUUGCCACCUGCAGCCAGAAGAGUUUUAACUAAUCAGUGCCAUAAAUUUUAUAUAGUUCUCCUUGCAAAAUGUGGAUCAGCCUUUCUCAGCAAAUCCUUUGUCAUAAAGUGCUGAAUUGUAAGUUUGUCAUGAGAAUCACAUGAGAUCAUGCAUGUGAAGAACCUGGCAUUAUCCUCCUCAUAGAAAAAAACCAGUAAAUAUUAACUACAGGAAGCAAGGAAGGAGUGGGGUGAGGGGAAGAAGAAGGGGUACUGAUUUAAAAGAACCCUGGAGUCCUAAGGAUAAUCUAGGAACCCUCAGACCCAAUCCGAUACCCCUAUUCUAAAUGCUCCUAGUGCCCUGUACCUUCCCCUCAUAAGCCUUCAUUAUCAUUGUAAUGAUAUGUUUAUGUAAUAUUUUGAUUAAUGUCUCUCCUUCACUGACCUAGCAGUUCUAGCAGGGCAGUGAUUUUGCUGUGUUGCAUCCCCAGCACCUAGUCUGGUAUGUGGCAUUCAGCAUAUGUUUAUUGAAUGAAUGGCCAUGUGGUUAUUCAGAUCCUCCUUGAUUAUUGGGGUUAGGAUUGUGGCAGAAGUGGCAAAAUCAGGGAGAGUAGUCCCUGUCCCCUCUGUAUCUUAUACACUGCCCACACUCCCAACACACAUACACAUACAGAGAAUUUUGUCUCAAUUAGAUAAUUAACUUCUGCUUGGUUGUAAACCAAACCACUGGUUCUUAAACUUUCAUUGGAUCAUUUUAUUGAAGAAUUAAAUAGUGUGGUUCUGGCCUAAUGUCUGGAAAGCCUUGCAGAGGAGUGGAUUAGGUCUUUGUGAUAAACAGGCAGCCUUCCCUGCUCCUGUGUCUUUAUAAAAUCUAUUUAACUGGAGUAGUCCACCCUCCCUCAGGCUCUUACAGGAAUAUGUUGGAGGCUGUAGGAAGGUGGGAAACCGAGAGGGAAAGGACUGGGCCGCUGGAGACUUCACUCAUUCCCUAGCAAGAAACAAAAGCAGUAAAAGGUGGCCCGAGGACAACCUGAAGCUCACUCCUUCAGCACUUUUGGCUGGAGGUCACUUGUUGGAGCCCCACUCAGAGCUCAGCACACCACCCCACCAGCAGCCUCCUCCUCCCAGCUGAGGCUGCAUUUCAUCCCUUCCCCCAGCCUGCUUUCCCUGAGAUAGGGGAGUGUUUCCCAGGGCCCAUGUGACUUCCACUGGCAAGUGACGAUUACCAAUGGUUUACUAGUCAGUGAAACUACCAAAGGCUUUUGUGCUGUAGUAAUCCUUUUCCUGUUUAAAACUCUGGGGAUUUUCUAAUGUUGCCAAUAGUUUUUCAAGUCAGCAAUUACUGUGUGGAUUAUGUAAUGGCUCGGUAUUAAAAAUAGAAAAGACUGG